UUCAUCUGACAAGGCAAAUUUAGAAUUUGCAGAAUGUUUAAAAUUAGACUUUUCAACUAAAGUCUCCAAGAAAAUGGUCUCACUGCCAGGGAAGGGACGAAGUGAGGAGGGUGGAAUUAAAGUACCAACAAAGUACUGAGCAGAGCCCCAGGCAGCUUUUCAAAGGCACUACUGCCAAAUAUUCUGCUUCUCAGGAUGAAACAGUAGCUGGCUGCUAGAUGUUCCAUGCCCGAGAACUGACACCAAGUUUAACAAGAGGAAGACAUGCCCCAAAG